GAUGAACGCUGGCGGCGUGCCUAAUACAUGCAAGUCGAGCGAACAGACGAGGAGCUUGCUCCUCUGACGUUAGCGGCGGACGGGUGAGUAACACGUGGAUAACCUACCUAUAAGACUGGGAUAACUUCGGGAAACCGGAGCUAAUACCGGAUAAUAUAUUGAACCGCAUGGUUCAAUAGUGAAAGACGGUUUUGCUGUCACUUAUAGAUGGAUCCGCGCCGCAUUAGCUAGUUGGUAAGGUAACGGCUUACCAAGGCAACGAUGCGUAGCCGACCUGAGAGGCUGAUCGGCCACACUGGAACUGAGACACGGUCCAGACUCCUACGGGAGGCAGCAGUGGGGAAUAUUCCGCAAUGGGCGAAAGCUUGACGGAGCAACGCCGCGUGAGUGAUGAAGGUCUUCGGAUCGUAAAACUCUGUUAUUAGGGAAGAACAAAUGUGUGAGUAACUAUGCACGUCUUGACGGUACCUAAUCAGAAAGCCACGGCUAACUACGUG
rnacentral:rRNA from 1 species